CUUAUUCUGGGCACACUGGGCUGAGAUGCUGGUGUUGAUCAGGAAAGACUGAUCUUCUUCUCCUGAACUCACCGGUGGAUGGCGACUCGACUCAGCUGCAGCAAGAUGACGUUCCUGGUGGGAAAAGCUGCGGCCUCGGCUGGCGUGCCGUUUCGAUGAGCUUCUUUUUUGUUCAGACAUUUGUUUGUUUAUUUGGAUUUUAUUUUAAUGUUUAUAACGUGUUUUGUGUUUUGAUAUAUAAAGGAUAAUAUGCUGUGGACGAACAAACAAACAAAC